rnacentral:tRNA from 2 species
GGUUCUAUAGUGUAGCUGGUUAUCACAUCGGAUUCUGAUUCCGGUAACUUGGGUUCGAAUCCCAAUAGGACCU